AUUGAACGCUGGCGGCAGGCCUAACACAUGCAAGUCGAGCGGAGUGGCGGACGGGUGAGUGAUGCCCAGGUAUCUGACUGGUAGUGGGGGAUAACGUCCGGUAACGGGCGCUAAGACCGCACCCUAUUAGAUGAGCCUAGGUCGGAUUAGCUAGUUGGUGAGGUAAAGGCGUACCAAGGCGACGAUCCGUAACUGGUCUGAGAGGAUGAUCAGUCACACUGGAACUGAGACACGGUCCAGACUCCUACGGGAGGCAGCAGUGGGGAAUAUUGGACAAUGGGCGAAAGCCUGAUGCAGCCAUGCCGCGUGUGUGAAGAAGGUCUUCGGAUUGUAAAGCACUUUAAGUUGGGAGGCGUUACCAACAGAAUAAGCACCGGCUAACUUCGUGCCAGCAGCCGCGGUAAUAC
rnacentral:rRNA from 1 species